rnacentral:misc_RNA from 1 species
GAUGAAGAACGUAGCGAAAUGCGAUACGUAAUGUGAAUUGCAGAAUUCAGUGAAUCAUCGAAUCUUUGAACGCACAUUGCGCCUGCCAGCACUCUGGCAGGCAUGCCUGUUCGAGCGUCAUUUCAACCAUCAGGCCCUAGGCUUGCGUUGGAGCCCUGCGGCUGCCGCAGGCCCCUAAAAGCAGUGGCGGGCUCGCUAUCACACCGAGUGCAGUAGAUUACUCUUCGCUCAGGGCGUGUGGCGGGUUCCAGCCGUGAAACCCCCUACUUCUCAAGGUUGACCUCGGAUCAGGUAGGAAUACCCGCUGAACUUAAGCAUAUCAAUAAGCGGAGGA